GCGCCUGUGGCUCAAUUGGAUAGAGCAACGGACUUCGGAUCCGUAGGUUGUAGGUUCGACUCCUGUCGGGCGCACCA
rnacentral:tRNA from 1 species